UACGGAGGGAGCUAGCGUUGUUCGGAAUUACUGGGCGUAAAGCGCACGUAGGCGGCUAUUCAAGUCAGAGGUGAAAGCCCGGGGCUCAACCCCGGAACUGCCUUUGAAACUAGGUAGCUAGAAUCCUGGAGAGGUCAGUGGAAUUCCGAGUGUAGAGGUGAAAUUCGUAGAUAUUCGGAAGAACACCAGUGGCGAAGGCGAAUUACUGGACACAUAUUGACGCUGAGGUGCGAAAGCGUGGGGAGCAAACAGG
rnacentral:rRNA from 1 species